CAUUGAGCAUCUACUGUGUGCCUGGCACUGUGGUCAAUGCCGUGAUAAUAAGGGACUUGCAGCUCAAGUAUAUCUGUGCUUCACUGGAAGAGUUGAAAGAGCUGGAGACUGUCUGUGAUCAAUGAGCCCCUGUCACUCUCAUGACACUUUCCUGAACCAUUUCACCAGCACUCAGAAGAUGAAGACUGUGCUCUACCUGUUCCUUCUCUGAAGCUAGAAGAUCUGGUGUUUCGACUUUGCCCCAGCCAACUGACCACAUUGAGUGAUGUGCUUAGUUUACACUGAAUACCAAGAGAUGGGUGGGAUUGCUGUGCAUAUAUAUUAGCAGGAUUUUGGCUGGAGGCCACUUGUGACCUCUAUUGAAUGUAACUUCCUCACUCAGGAGUUGAUAUGGAACCACUCACUCCUAUUGGCUCAGUGCCCAGAAGGCCUCAGAGAGAGCCCACAAGAUCAACCCGACAGACCCCGGCUUUCCAAAUAAAGAAACGCACCCCCCCCACCCCAGGGUAGGGGUCUUUGUGGGUCCUGCCUAC
ensembl:lncRNA novel transcript, antisense ASIC2